CUCGUAUUUUACGAUUCGAUGUCACCAGACACAAGUUCUUUAAAACCCUAAUUUCACUUUUCUCUUUAUUUUUCUUCCACAUUUAUCUCUCAAAAUCCAAAAAAAAAAAGAAAAAUCCAAUUUACAAGAAACAAAAAAGAAUCAAUUUCCCAAUCUUUCACUUAUAAAACUCGUUUUUAUUCGCCAUUAUUUUUUUAAUUUUGUUUUAUUUUCUCAUUUUUCCUUGUUUUAGAUAAUUUUGUCUAUGUUGAAAACUAGGGUUUGCUCCAAUGGUGGGUUUUGUGUGUUGAAAUUAGGGCAUUUCAGAUAAAAUUUUCACCUACUUUCUCCUUUGAAGGAAACGUGGGUUCUCGUGGCUUCCCAAAAAUAUAAUCCUGUUUUGAAGGUGAGUUUUGGUUGGAAAAGAUGUCAUCAAGGUAUCAAAUACUUGGUGAUCGACCAAUUGAUCAAUGGAGGGUUACAGAAUUGAAAGAAGAACUUAAGAGGCGGAAAUUGACAACACGGGGCUUGAAAGAGGAUUUGGUAAAACGUUUGGAUGAAGCCCUUCGAAUUGAAAGGGCAAAUACUCCAGAUGAAGCAUAUAAUGGUUUUAAUUCUGAUCCCCAGCCUAUAGUUGAGGGAGGGAUUGAAAAAUCUGUGCCGGUUGUUGCUGAGACAGUUAAGGAUGCUGUGGAUCAUGGUAGUAGUGGUAUUGAGAAGGGGAGUGGGGUAAAGGUUCAGGUUGACAUUAAUGAUAGAGCAGCUGCAUUGGGUCAUGGAGGAGUUCAAGGAAGGGACAUAUUGGUGGAAGAGGAGCCCGUUAUUCAAACUGCCACAGUUCAGAAUGAGAUAACGGUUACCAAGACUGUGGUAUGUGACGUACCAUUGAUUGGACAAGAUUUGCAGAGCUUGGGACAGGAGGAGAUUGUGAAUUCUAAUAUCCAAGUGGAGUAUGAGGAUCUGAAGCCCCAGGUGGAGGAUAAGGAUCCAAAGCCUCAGGUGGAGAGUGAGGGUCCAAAGCCCCAGGGGGAGAGUGAGGGUCCAAAGCCCCAGGUGGAGAUUGAGAGUCCAAAGCUUCAGUUGGAGAAUGAUAAUCCAAAGGCCCUGCUGGAGAGUGUGGGUUCAAAGCCUCAGCUGGAGAAUGAUGAUCUGAAGCCCCAGCUGGAGAAUGAGUGUUUAAAGGCUCCACAUGAGGAUGACAUGCGUGACUCUUCUACUCCUAACAACCAGGUAUCUGAGGUCAGCACUAUUUUAGGGUUUCAAGUAAAAUCUGAUUCUAUUUCUACUGAUUCUGUGUCAAUUAAUGAAAAGAUUGAACUAAAGGAUAAUAUAAUUGCUGAUAAUGUCAAAUUAGACCUAGAUGUUGUUAAGCUGGAGAUGGUGGAACCAUCAUCCAGCAAUGUUGUCCCAAUUAGUGGUGAAUCACAUCCAAUGGAUGUUGAAGAGCCACUUGAGAACAAGGUGAUUGUUGAUGAGGGAGAUAACAAGAAUGUUACAAAUGCAGACAUGGCCAAUAAAAAUGACAGUGCGGGGAUGGGGUACUCAGAAAAAUUAAAUUUAGAUAGAAGUUCUGGUGAUGACUCUAUGGAGGAGGAUGUGCUUGAGAGUAAACAAAUUGAUUCAAAAUGUAGUACUGGUGAAAUGGGAGAACAGAGUGAGAAAAAUGAAGUGUCUAUUAUAAAGGAUGAAGGUCCCGUUGGUGUUGUAGGAGAUGGUUUAUCUGCUGAUAAAGAGGACGUCUUUGUGGAGAAUAAGAGCUGCUCUUCUGUUCCUGCUGAGAAAAGAAAGACUCAUUAUCAGGAAGCUGUUGGGAACAAUGAGCCUUCAAAAAGGCGCAAAUGGAACUCUGAAAGAAUAAAAGUUCCAGAGCAGCAAGGCUCUAAUCUUGUACCCACCACCACACCUAAGGACACCACUCAUCCUCCUGCUUUUAAACGUAACUUCUCUAGAUCAGACUCCAGUGCUAGUGAAGAUACACCUAAGGAUCGAGUUGUUCCUCCAUCACAAAAACUUCCAACCACUUCACUCAGAAUUGAUAAUUUUCUGCGCCCUUUUACCUUGAAAGCUGUGCAAGAACUUUUAGGGAAAACUGGAACAGUUACGAGCUUCUGGAUGGACCACAUUAAGACCCAUUGCUAUGUUACUUAUUUAUCUGUGGAAGAAGCAAUUGAGACACGAAAUGCUGUUUACAACCUGCAAUGGCCACCUAAUGGUGGACGUCUAUUGGUGGCUGACUUUGUUGAUCCCCAGGAAGUUAAAAUUCGGCUGGAGGCUCCACCUCAGACUCCAACUACUCCUAGGACUUCUGGUUCUACUGCUUCUCAAGCUCAGCCAACUUCUCAGCGCCAUUCCUCACCUCGUCAACAGGUUUCUAGACAGCAGCUUCCACCGCCUUCUGCACUUCCACCACCACCGCCUUUGUCUAACCCACCACAGGUUAGAGAACGGCUUCCUCUGCCACCGCCACCUCCAGAGAAACUAGAUCCUCCUAUUGUCACUCUGGAUGACCUGUUUCGCAAAACCAAAGCAACUCCUCGGAUCUACUAUUUGCCUCUGUCAGAAGAACAAGUUGCAGCAAAGCGAGCAGCACAUGGCAGAAACACCAAGCAGUAGGGAUCAGGCUAUAAUUUUAUCCCUGGCUGCUCUUAGGAUAUUCUUGUCGGUUGGUCUGUAUGUUAGACAAUGAUUCAGGUUUGGAAUUAUAAUUCGAAGGAUGGGGUAGGUUGCUGGUUUGGGCCCUGUGGAGCUAUUGAUCUUGAUGUUCAUAUCCUCAAACAUAAGUCAUUAUUAUUAAUUACAAAUAUGUAACAAAUAAAUAGCACAUCUUACCAUUUUAAAGGGAAGGAAUGAAUCCUCCUAAAGGCCAUAAUAAAACAUUUAUUCCCAUAAUAAUAAAUCUUUCAAAGACAACAUUUAAAUUAAUAGAGAAAUAAAUAAGGAAGAACAAAAAAUAUAUAAUGCUUGAAGGAUCUCAUAAUUUUUUUAUUGCGAGUCCCCUUAAAUCUGGGAUUCACUAUAAUUAUAGAUUAAAAAUUAAAAUUUAUGGUGAAAUGACAGAAAUUUAAAUGACAAAUUUAA